AUUGAACGCUGGCGGCAGGCCUAACACAUGCAAGUCGAACGAGUGGCGGACGGGUGAGUAAUGUCUGGGAAACUGCCCGAUGGAGGGGGAUAACUCCUGGAAACGGUAGCUAAUAACGCAUACCAUCGGAUGUGCCAAGAUGGGAUUAGCUAGUAGGGGGGGUAACGGCUCACCUAGGCGACGAUCCCUAGCUGGUCUGAGAGGAUGACCAGUCAAGUUGUGACGAAGACACGGUCAAGACUCCUACGGGAGGCAGCAGGGGGGAAUCUUGGACAAUGGGCGCAAGCCUGAUGCAGCCAUGCCGCGUGUAUGAAGAAGGCCUUCGGGUUGUAAAGCACUUUUGGCAGGAAAGCGGUACCUGCAGAAUAAGCACCGGCUAACUACGUGCCAGCAGCCGCGGUAAGAC
rnacentral:rRNA from 1 species